GCUGCUUCUGGGCAAUAGGGAGGGAGUGCAACUGAAGUAUAGCCUCUUCACUUAGCAGAGGAGGACAGAGUUGUACUCCUCAGAACUUCAGCUCAGUGCUGUCUAAUUACUAGGAGGCAUCCAGAUAUAGGUAAUCAAUCAACCUCCACAGAAGAGCAUUCCCAAUCCAACUGAAACUAAAAGUGAGAAGGAAGAAGAAUCAGAGAGACAUGAAACAAAGCUCAGAAAGGAAAAAAGGAAGAGAUUCCAAGUCACAACCCUAUUAUCCUGUUCAAUGAGGGCCCUACAAUAAAAUGUGACCAUUUCUUUAUGAUGUUAAAAUGGCUUGAAGCUUCUCACCACACUGGAAAAGCAAGAUACUGUUUCCUCUGAGAGGGUGGUGUUAUUAUUAUUUAUUUUCCCCAUUAACUACUGGAUAUAAAGUCAAUUGAAUUUAACAGAAAGCAAUCUGUUGGUUUCAAGCGGCUUGGAAUCAGGCCCCAAGGGAGCAACUGCUAUUGGACUUCCAUUCUGACAUUGGAGGAUGAUACAGUUACUUCCAGUGUUCCAGUACAAAAUUCGGUACAGGUGCUUGAGAGCUACUAAUGAACCUUAAUUCCAGGGCCUAAUACAAUGGCCCUGAGCUUGACUCUGUGUGAUGCUUUCUGAAAAAUCCUGGAGAGAGAGAACUCUGGCCUGUACUUCAGCAGAGUGUUAAAUGGAAGGAAUAUGCCUAAUUUGCUUUGCUAUCCCAGUUACAUAAGCACCUAGAGAAAAUAAACAGGUAUUGACUCAAAUCCUGCUCUGAAAGCUUGGAAGAAACUCCCAAAUAUCACAUUGACUUCAAAAUGUUGUACAUCAGCAUACUGAUCAGAGUGCUGCUGAUCUUGUCAAGCUUCAGCCAAUGUCACCUAU